GACGGAGGAGGCUAGCGUUGUUCGGAAUUACUGGGCGUAAAGCGCGCGCAGGCGGCUUAGCAAGUCAGGGGUGAAAGCCCGGGGCUCAACCUCGGAACUGCCUUUGAGACUGCUAGGCUCGAGACCGAGAGAGGAGAGUGGAAUUCCCAGUGUAGAGGUGAAAUUCGUAGAUACUGGGAAGAACACCAGUGGCGAAGGCGGCUCUCUGGCUCGGUACUGACGCUGAGGCGCGAAAGCGUGGGGAGCAAACAGG
rnacentral:rRNA from 1 species